rnacentral:rRNA from 1 species
GGCGGUCAGGAAAGUNUGGAGUAAAAGGCUAUGGCUCAACCAUAGUGUGCUCUGGAAACUGUNUGACUUGAGUGCAGAAGGGGAGAGUGGAAUUCCAUGUGUAGCGGUGAAAUGCGUAGAUAUAUGGAGGAACACCAGUGGCGAAAGCGGCUCUCUGGUCUGUCACUGACGCUGAGGCUCGAAAGCGUGGGUAGCGAACAGGAUUAGAUACCCUGGUAGUNCACGCCGUAAACGAUGAGUGCUAGGUGUUAGGCCCUUUCCGGGGCUUAGUGCCGGAGCUAACGCAAUAAGCACUCCGCCUGGGGAGUACGACCGCAAGGUUGAAACUCAAAGGAAUUGACGGGGGCCCGCACAAGCGGUGGAGCAUGUGGUUUAAUUCGAAGCAACGUGAAGAACCUUACCAGGUCUUGACAUCCCGAUGCUAUUCUUAGAGAUAGGAAGUUACUUCGGUACAUCGGAGACAGGUGGUGCAUGGUUGUCGUCAGCUCGUGUCGUGAGAUGUUGGGUUAAGUCCCGCAACGAGCGCAACCCUUAUUGCUAGUUGCCAUCAUUAAGUUGGGCACUCUAGCGAGACUGCCGGUAAUAAACCGGAGGAAGGUGGGGAUGACGUCAAAUCAUCAUGCCCCUUAUGACCUGGGCUACACACGUGCUACAAUGGUCGGUACAACGAGUUGCGAGCCGGUGACGGCAAGCUAAUCUCUGAAAGCCGAUCUCAGUUCGGAUUGGAGGCUGCAACUCGCCUCCAUGAAGUCGGAAUCGCUAGUAAUCGCGGAUCAGCACGCCGCGGUGAAUACGUUCCCGGGCCUUGUACACACCGCCCGUCACACCACGAGAGUUUGUAACACCCGAAGUCGGUGAGGUAACCUUUUAGGGGCCA